UACGAACUGUGCGAACGUUAUUCGGAAUCACUGGGCUUAAAGGGUGCGUAGGCGGCUGCCUAAGUCAGGUGUGAAAUCUCCCGGCUCAACCGGGAAACUGCGCUUGAUACUGGGCGGCUCGAGUGAGGUAGGGGUGUGUGGAACUUCCGGUGGAGCGGUGAAAUGUGUAGAGAUCGGGAGGAACACCGGUGGCGAAGGCGGGUCUCUGGGCAAUUCCUGACGCUGAGGCGCGAAAGCGUGGGGAGCAAACGGG
rnacentral:rRNA from 1 species